rnacentral:tRNA from 1 species
UGGCGCAGUAGGUAGCGCAUCAGUCUCGCAAGCUGAAGGUCCUGAGUUCGAUCCUUGG